GAGACAGUUUGGUCCUUAUCCUCUGUGGGCGCAGGAAAAUUGAGGGGAAGAUUCCCUAGUACGAGAGGACCGGGAAUCACGAACCAAUGGUGUUCCGGCUGUCGCGCCAGCGGCAGGCCGGGUAGCCACGUUCGGAACGGAUAAGCGCUGAAAGCAUCUAAGCGCCAAGCCUCCCCCGAGACAAGUUUUCCCAGACGCAAGUCUCUGAAGUCAGGUUGUAGACCACGACCUCGAUAGGCCGAAGGUGGAAGCGGAGCGAUCCGUUGAGCCGAUCGGCACUAAUAUGACGUGCGGCUUAGCUUA
rnacentral:rRNA from 1 species